GCUCCUCCUACCUAGUACUGCUUUUAGAAGAAGUUUGUACCUUUUACUGACUACACCAGUAAUACCAGAAUGUAUAGGUGGGGGUUGAUCAGUGAGCACAAUAUACUGUACGAGAGAGAGAGAGAGUUUAUCUGCUCAACUCCUGUUUACCUGGCUGAUUUGCAACAAGGAACAAGGAAGAGGAAUAUUCCACUGUUUCUAAGAGGUUUGGAAGUCAAAUUUGUAAAUCGUUUUCAUAUUGAGGCUGGAGCAAACACAUCUAUAAAAUAUCUGUAAACAAUGUAGCCAUAAAUUACAGCAAUGACUUCUAGCAUGAGGCUAGAAAAAGUAAGUGUUACUGAAAAUAAACAGCUGGAGGAACGUUUAGCAACUAACUUGUUUAAUUGCAAACAGGUCAGUAACGAUUGGGUAUAAAAAGAGUAUCUUAGAGAGGCAGAGUCUUUCAGACGUAAAGAUGGGCACAGGUUCACCAAUCUGCCAGGCAGCACUGCAUUCAAAACAGGCAUGAUUCUAUAAUGGAAAUCAUUGCAUGGGCUCAGAAACACCUCCAGAACUCAUUGUCUGAACAACGUUUGCGGUGGGUGAAGCAUGGAGACAGACUCCAAGAGGGAAGGUAAGCCAAAGGGUUUUAUUAACACCAAAACAAAAACAUUAACGAACACAGAGUUAUGUCGGCGAGUUGCUUCAUUUUCCAGGGUCUCUUCCUCUAGCCCUCCUGGAUCAUGUGUUUGGUCUCUUCUCUCCCACGGCGAGUCUGUGUAGCACAAAAACCAUGUCAACCCCCAUAUCACCCCUUUUUGUCCUCUUUUGUACUCACCAGGAGUGGGGUAGAUGAGGAACAGGUGUGCCUCGUUGAGGCUUUGCUUCGGUAACGAGGCCAACGGGCUGCCAGGCCCACGGCUGACAAGGCCCCCUUGUCACAGGUGCCAUCCACACAUUCAACACUGCAUCGUUGACGUCUUUCCCCAAUCAGAAGCCCUGGGUUGAUCCAGGCCAACCUGAGAGCCCGGUCUGUCGCCUUUAACUCUGGGGACCCUGAUCAGUACAGAAAGUGCAGAUACGACCUUCUGAAAGCCAUCAAAGCAGCAAAAAGGCCUUACAGGACCAAGGUGGAGUCCAGCUACCACGUCUCUGACCCUGAUUCUGAGGGAGAGGCUACAGUGAGACCCAGUCCUCUGUCCUACUGCCAGACGAGCUGAAUGCCUUCUACGCUUACUUUCACCCCCCUACAGUGGAGCUACCUGAAGGCCUAGCCAGUGGUGUGCCU